AUACUGGAGCGUCUGACAGGGAAGGGUGGGGAGGCUUUCUGGGGCAGUAAGACAUUCACCUGGAUGGACUGCACUUUUGCUACGUCUGGGCAGCGAAGGCAGGACGCACCGUUCACCGCAUACUCUGAGAGGUCACCAACCGCCCCGCAGCGUUCCCGACGCCCGCUCCACAAGCUAGCCUGACGCUUCCUCCUCGGAGCUGAACUUCGAGGCGGUUCGGGAGCAUGCGCGGUGCGGCCACUCAGCCGGUCGGGCCCGGCGCGCGCGAGGAGCCGGUGCCUUCGGGAAUCUUCCGUGCGCUACGUCUGCUCACCCAGCUGCGUGGGCUUGUGGCUCGGUCCGGUCUCCGCCUAGAGCGCCCGGCGAGAGCCACGGGCUUUUAUCACCCGCCGCCUGCGUCUGUGCUCCAGUGGCCGCAACUGCCCCGGCGGCUGUUCUGGAAGAGAUCUGAGAGCGGGGUGGGCUGGGUCUUGAGAACCCCGCACCUCUCGCGUUGUGGUGAAGAAGAACCGUCAUUCCCAACGGGAACUUUGGCACUGAUAACUGCAGAGACAGAAGUAAGAGAUACUGGAGACAGGAUUAAAAUGGCUCAAAGAGGGGGGACCUUCAAGAUGGCGGAGGAGUAAGACGUGGAGAUCACCUUCCUCCCCACAAAUACAUUAAAAAUACAUCUACAUGUGGAACAACUCCUACAGAACACCUACUGAAUGCUGGCAGAAGACCUCAGACUUCCCAAAAGGAAAGAAAAUCCCCACCUACCUGGCUGUGUGGCUGACAGGAUCUUCGUGCUCCGGCAUAGUGUCAGGCCUGAGCCUCUGGGGUGGGAGAGCAGAGUUCAGGACAUUGGAUCACCAGAGACCUCCCAGCCCCAUGUAGUAUCAGUUGGUGAGAGCUCACCCAGAGACCUCCGUCUCAAUGCUAAGACUCAGCUCCACCCAAUGGCCAGCAAGCCCCAGUGCUGGAUGCCCCAUGCCAAACAGCUAGCAAGACAGGAACACAACCCCACCCAUUAGCAGAGAGGCUGCCUAAAAUCAUAAUAAGGUCACACACACCCCAAAACACACCAUCAGAUGUGGUCCUGCCCACCAGAAAGACAAGAUCCAGCCUCAUCCAGAAGAACACAGGCACCAGUCCCCUCCACCAGGAAGCCUACACAACCCACUGAACCAACCUUAGCCACUGAGGGCAGACACCAAAAACAACGGGAACUACGAAACUGCAGCCUGCAAAAAGGAGACCUCAAACACAGUAAGAUAAGCAAAAUGAGA